rnacentral:rRNA from 1 species
AAAUGAAUUGACGGGGGCCCGCACAAGCGGAGGAACAUGUGGUUUAAUUCGAUGAUACGCGAGGAACCUUACCCGGGCUUGAAAUGCGUCUGACAGUCGGAGAGAUCCGAUCUCCCUUCGGGGCAGACGUGUAGGUGCUGCAUGGUUGUCGUCAGCUCGUGCCGUGAGGUGUCGGCUUAAGUGCCAUAACGAGCGCAACCCUCAUCGUUAGUUGCCAUCAGGUAGUGCUGGGGACUCUAACGAGACUGCCAUCGUAAGAUGCGAGGAAGGUGGGGAUGACGUCAAAUCAGCACGGCCCUUACGUCCGGGGCGACACACGUGUUACAAUGGGUGGUACAAAGGGCAGCUACAUGGCGACAUGGUGCCAAUCCCCAAAACCACUCUCAGUUCGGAUCGGAGUCUGCAACUCGACUCCGUGAAGCUGGAUUCGCUAGUAAUCGCGCAUCAGCCACGGCGCGGUGAAUACGUUCCCGGGCCUUGUACACACCGCCCGU